rnacentral:rRNA from 1 species
UACGUAGGGUGCAAGCGUUGUCCGGAAUUAUUGGGCGUAAAGAGCUCGUAGGCGGCUUGUCACGUCGACUGUGAAAACCCGAGGCUCAACCUCGGGCCUGCAGUCGAUACGGGCAGGCUAGAGUUCGGUAGGGGAGACUGGAAUUCCUGGUGUAGCGGUGUAAUGCGCAGAUAUCAGGAGGAACACCGGUGGCGAAGGCGGGUCUCUGGGCCGAAACUGACGCUGAGGAGCGAAAGCGUGGGGAGCAAACAGG